CACCUUCAAAAAGCCGGGGGAAGAGCCUAUAUAGACGGUGUCGGGAAACCGACUAUGGCGAUAAACGCCGCGUGGCAUAAGCGUUUCGGACCCGGGGGCAGUACCCGGCGCCUCCACCAUUUCUCUCCGCCUCCAGGGGCGGAACCGAUGGGGGCGAACCAGGAUCGACGAGCGUGGUAAAGGCGCGGUUUUUGCCCGGUAUGGUUCCGCCGUGACGGGCCAUUCACAAGUGCUAACGAUAACACCGUUACACUCGCUGCUGCCGCCUAAACAGCGGACGUAAGCGCGGUCCGGGGGGCACCGGGCAACAGAAGCCCCCCACU
rnacentral:tmRNA from 1 species